rnacentral:rRNA from 1 species
CAAAGGGAGCAGACAACAGGGCUUGCCUCAGUAACGGCGAGUGAAGCGGCAACAGCUCAAAUUUGAAAUCUGGCCGUUUACGGUCCGAGUUGUAAUUUGUAGAGGAUGUUUUGGGUACCGCCCCGGUUUAAAUUUCUUGGAACAGAAUGUCAAAGAGGGUGAGAGUCCCGUCUUGGACCGCGGUAGGGCCUGUGUAAAACUCCUUCGACGAGUCGACUUGUUUGGGAAUGCAGGUCAAAAUGGGUGGUAAAUUUCAUCUAAAGCUAAAUAUUGGCCAGAGACCGAUAGCGCACAAGUAGAGUGAUCGAAAGAUGAAAAGCACUUUGAAAAGAGAGUUAAACAGUAUGUGAAAUUGUUGAAAGGGAAGCGCUGGCAACCAGACUCGUGCGCGGGGUUCCCCCUUGCUUCUGCUUGGGUCACUUCCCCGUGUCCGGGCCAUCAUCAGUUUCGGGGGCCGGUUAAAGGCCUUGGGAAUGUAUCCACGCCUUCGGGGGUGGACUUAUAGCCCAGGGUGUCAUGCGGCCACCCGGGACUGAGGAACGCGCUUCGGCGAGGAUGAUGGCGUAAUGGUUGUCAGCGGCCCGUCUUGAAACACGGACC